CAUCUGGUUCCAUUUUAUUAAAAAACAAAACCAAAAGAAAUUUUGCAGUGAAAUUUCCUGGAAUUCACAACCCUCAUUUAAAAAUCCUUAUAGUUGCAAUAUUUUUUUUUUAGCCAGUACGUAAGAACACGAUUGCACUUAUUUACAUGAUAGUCUUCUAUAUAACAAAAAUAACCAUGUUGUAAUGACUGUUUCCAACUAUCACCCUUGUUUCAUCACUAGCCCAUUAUGAGACAAGUUGAUUACGCUCUCCAAGUACAAAGAGAAUAGAAUAAAGCAAAAUAAAAGUCUGUGUCUCCUAAUAGAAGACAAAUUCCUUUAAAGACAGUUACUUUUUUUUUUUUUUCAAUUUCUUUGUAUUUCAAGAGGGAUAUAAAGUGCUCUGAAAGGAGUAGGGUAGGUGCCUGAGGUGGGGAAGAAGGAAAGAAAUUUAUACAGAAAAAAUUUAAAAAACUACACUGCCUUAACUAAUCAUCUCAAUAUGCACACAACUUUGUACAGAAGAUUAGUUUUGGGUAAAAACGCUACAUAAUUCACUAGUACUUAUUUCGGCAAUUAAGAACUGAAGUCCAAAUGAAAGACUCCCCAUGCAAAUGUCAUCAGGAGUGACUUUUUUGUGAUUUUGGGUCAGAUGCUAUAUAAAUCAAGGAAGCUCAGUCACACAGUCUGAAUAUGGAGAGGAUAGACAAUGCCGAGAUGGAACCAUCAUCUACUACCUGCAGACUAGCCAGAAAGACCUUGUGGGGAAGCUAAGUAGACUUUACCCCAACAUCAAUCAUUUUACAACAAAAGCAUUUUGUUGCAAGCAUUUGUUUACAAUAAAAGUAAUUUGUGUUAGGAUGGAAAAAAAGCCAUUGGAAUUUCCUCUUGCUAGUAGGGAGGAAGAUUGAUUUAUGAUGUCAUGUCUGAUUAUUUAUAAUUGUAAAUUCAUUAUUUGCAGAUUUUUUUCUAGUGGGAAAUAAUAUGCUGUACAAAGUGGUUAAAAUAAGUUAUUUCUUUUUCACAUUUUUGCAACUGGCAAUUGCUGGUUAUUGUCUGCAGUCUACAAAACUGAGUAUCACAUAUGUACUGCUUGAGAGUUUCCCCUGGAAACCAGAAUAAUCAUCCUCCCAGCUCAUGAACAUUUUAAAGAACAAUACCCAUUUUUUUUUCCAGAAAAUGGAUGGAAUGUAACUUUUCACAAAUACAAAAUUAUUUCAUUUUCUAAAUGUAAGGGACACCCCUCUAUAAAAAUAACAGUCCCUCCCCACUCCCACCCCUACAUCUCCUUCUAAUUAUAAAAUGGUAGAACCAUCUCAGAUUACUAAUGUGAAAGCAGGAAGUAAAUAUAUUAUGUACAUGUACAAAACACAUCAGUAUUUCACACCAUUUACAUUCAUAUGAAGUCUUUUUAUUGAUCUUCCUUUGCAAUUUCACAAGAAUAAAGUUGAGAUAACUUACAAAAACAAGCAGUCCCUUGCUUAUAACUGCACAAACAUUCUAGCCAGAGGCAUCUUCUUUGCAAACAGAGCAACAUUAUCCUUCAACAUUUUGCAGAAGUAAGGGCUGCUGACAGUGAGAAGAUCUGUGGGGUCUCCUUCAGCUUUUUAGAGUUUGUGACACUCUUUCCUCAUUUGAUAAAUGUAGACCAAAUUCUCAACUACCGAAGAAAUUGUAUGAUGAAAGGCAAGUAACUGGUUGUUGAAUUCAUGACCCAAGUCAAAUUAAUCUGCUGCAAGAAUAAUUGCGAUUACUCCAGCAGAGGGCACUCUGCUCCUUGCAAUAACAUCCUACUGAACAGGUGACACUCCCAUCCCAUUUUAACUGCCAACAUCAAACGUAUUCAUCCAUGCAAUGGCAUGGAUGAAGGACCUCGGUGGCCAAGAGCACUGCAUGAAGAACCAUGCAUCCCCAUCUUAAGAGGGUAGUCUCUUCGUGUCUCUUUGUCAGUCUUCAGGAAUUAGUGGCCCUCAGAUCACUUACGAUGAGCAAGCACUUGUGCUAAGUAGUUAGGAAGAAUGGGCAUUCCAUCAGGUACAGUAUACAAGUUUUUCCAAGAAAUCCUAACCCUGGGGGCUCAGGCGAAUGAGGAGGGUCAAAUGCUGAGGGUGGGAGAAAGCAGAUCUAGACAGCAUUCUGGAAUUGUUGCUUUGCCAUUAUUUGCCCAGAAAACAUUUAUGGCAAGGAAGCCUGAAAACAUGGCAAUGGUUGUAAGAUGGGUUGCGAUACAACUGGUGAUGUGAGAAGUGAAAAUGAAACUGACUCCUUUAGGGAGGACAUUGGUUUAUAGUAAACAGGUUUGCCUCAUCAGAAGUGAAUAUGGAUAUUGCUACACAAUAAAAAGAGGAAAAACACCAACAACAGUAACAAUGGUAAUCACAAUAAUGAUAAUGACUCUGUAGGUAUAGAACCUCCAGUUUUUUGUGUUCUGAAGGUUAUUUCAGAGUUUCUUGCAAGAGAGAAAACAAAUCAGAAAAAAAGGGGAAGAGAGAAGAUGGGAAAAUAAUUUAUGUAUGGGUAUACAAAGUAAGAUAUAGGCAGUCAGAGAAAAACAGAUACAGACAGAAAAGGAAAAGAAACUUAGAGAAGAUAUAAAAAUGCUACUGGAAAUUGCCUCUGUGGCCUUAGUACCAGAAAAGACUGGGCUCUCGCUCCACAGAGGGAGUGACUCCAUAGCCCAGAUUUUUUGAAAAGUUUUGAUUUAAGGAUUUUUUUUUAAGUCAGGGUGAUACAUUCAAUGGAUAACUAAAUGUCAUUUAAUUUUUUAUGCUCUGCAAAAAUAUCCAUCUAAACAAAACUCAUAAAUAAGAAAGAAUCCUAUGUUAGAUCACUGGCAUUGAUUUGGUUUUGAGAGUAUGGUAGCCUCAGGGAUGUCAGGGCAGUAACUGAAAUGGCCACUGGGCAUGGUGAGCUUUGAAAUGACCAAACCCAGAUCUAUGAAUUUCCAGGAUAUUUCACCAGGAUGAAGGAAAUGUUAAAAACAAGAAAACAAAACAAAACAAAACAAAAUGAACAUUUUUGGACAGAGCUUUGCCUCCAUGAUUCUGAUCAUUACCAUGUGAUGUCAAAAAUGGGUAGGUACCUUUGCCGCUUUUAAUUUUCUGCCUUCUCCAGACUCUACCUCUCCCUGUGUAGAUGACCAGAGUUGACACUGCAGGGGAUAUCUAACCCUAGAGAUUAAGUCAAUGUUCAAAAGCUGUAUUCAUAGUCAGGGCUCAGCUCUUCCAAAGGGACUAGCCACAUAGGAGGUAGCAGUUCCUAAAGGUGACCCUAAAUUAUUUUGAGUGAAUGCAAAUGCUCCUUUUCUUCCCCAUAGCAUUGGGGUGGCAGGUGGAUGCUGACUUGGAGUAAAAUGCUGGCUGUUGGAGGUGGUCAUAAUUCACCAAGUAGAGACCGGAUGAUCACAGGCCCCCAAAGAUUCUUUUUCAAGAAGGCCACAUAAAGUCUUGCAUUUCUCAUUCUUUCCUCCCAAGUUCGUGAGUUUUCACUACAGCUGUGGGACUGGGGGACACUGGGAAAGGACUUUCACCAACCAUGAACAAGAAGAAGGGGUUGAGGUAAAGUUGGGUGAUUUCAGUCUGGAGUUCUCUUUGGCUCCUAAGUGCCACAUAUCAGUCCGAGGGUUUGCCAUAGAAGUGAGGGGUAUAAUUUUGUUUCAGCACCAAAUCAGCAUGGUUUGUGUGAGUUUUAAGUAACAACUGGUCAGAGGAGUAACAACAAAUGGUCAUGGACAUCAAUGAUAUGGUUAGAAAGUUCAAGCAGAAAUUUUAAAAAGGGUGCCUGAAUCUUUAUUCACUACAAAAUAAAUGGACCUCUGGGCCUCUCAUUAGGCGACUUGGGUGGUGUCCAGUUCUCCCUGGAGGUAAUUAAGCUUUUAACCUUCUUUUCUUUUGUAAGGGUCGGGGGAUCUUGUGAGAAUACUGGAGGAACUCUAGACCUGCAUUGUCCAAUUGGCAGCCACUAGCCACAUGUGACUAUCCAAAUUGAGAGGUGCUGUGAGUGUAAAAGACACAAUGGAUUUAGAAGACUUAGUACACAAAAGCAUGUAAAACAUGUCAUUAAUUUACAUUAGUGACAUGUUGAAACAAUAUUAGGUUAAAGUACAUGAUUAAAAUUAUCUUUACCUGUUUCUUUUUACACUUUAAAAUGUGGCUAGUAGAAAAUUUAAAAUUAUGUCUGUGACUUGCAUUACGUUUCUGUUGGACAGUGCUAGUCUAGACUCUUGCUAUAGAAAAAUGCACAUCUGCAAAUACACAUACAGUCUGCAUUUGCUUCUAGAGGGUACACACACCCUCUGACACUCAUCUGUAGACUACCAGGUCUCCAGGUCAGUCUCUUCUUUGGGGGAGGUAAAGAAGGCUAUAAGGAAGGGCUGUUCCCCUUUCUUCUGAAAGAGAAACUUUCUGGUUAAGCUUUUUUUUUUUCUUUUUUUUUUUUUUUUUAAACUAUCAAAGCUACAGGAAAAUCCUCCAGAAACAAACUUUGGUAAGUAGUGAAUGGCAAAGGCUCAGGGGGU
rnacentral:lncRNA from 10 species